rnacentral:rRNA from 1 species
GCUCACCUAGGCGACGAUCCCUAGCUGGUCUGAGAGGAUGACCAGCCACACUGGAACUGAGACACGGUCCAGACUCCUACGGGAGGCAGCAGUGGGGAAUAUUGCACAAUGGGCGCAAGCCUGAUGCAGCCAUGCCGCGUGUGUGAAGAAGGCCUUCGGGUUGUAAAGCACUUUCAGCGAGGAGGAAGGGUUCAGUGUUAAUAGCACUGUACAUUGACGUUACUCGCAGAAGAAGCACAGGCUAACUCCGUGCCAGCAGCCGCGGUAAUACGGAGGGUGCAAGCGUUAAUCGGAAUUACUGGGCGUAAAGCGCACGCAGGCGGUUUG